rnacentral:rRNA from 1 species
CCUACGGGUGGCAGCAGUGGGGAAUUUUGGGCAAUGGGCGCAAGCCUGACCCAGCAACGCCGCGUGAAGGAAGAAGGCUUUCGGGUUGUAAACUUCUUUUGUCAGGGAAGAGUAGGAGACGGUACCUGACGUAUAAGCCACGGCUAACUACGUCCCAGCAGGCGCGGUAAUACGUAGGUGGCAAGCGUUGUCCGGAUUUACUGGGUGUAAAGGGCGUGUAGCCGGGUUGACAAGUCAGAUGUGAAAUCCUGCGGAUUAACCACAGAACUGCUUUUGAAACUGUUGAUCUUGAGUACUGGAGAGGCAGACGGAAUUCCUAGUGUAGCGGUGAAAUGCGUAGAUAUUAGGAGGAACACCAGUGGCGAAGGCGGUCUGCUGGACAGCAACUGACGGUGAGGCGCGAAAGCGUGGGGAGCAAACAGGAUUAGAUACCCGAGUAGUC